AUGACCCGGUACGUACAGCUGGUAUCUGCAUCUGCCAGGGGUCUGCUCUACACAGGGUUCUAUACGUUGUACUUUGACAGUGACAAUCAGCUAAAACUCAUCUAUGAUGGCCCCGAGAUUAGUAGCAUAUAUUGGCCCAACCCUGCCAACAAACUGUGGGUAAAUCAGAGGAGUGCUUACAACCGUAGCCGCUAUGCUGUUCUUCAACAGACAGGCCAGUUUUUCUCGAGUGACAACUCGACAUUUGAAGCUUCUGAUCUUGGUGAAAAGGUCAUGAGGAGGUUGACUCUGGAUUACGAUGGCAACCUUAGGCUGUAUAGCCUAAACGCAACAAGCGGCGAUUGGUCAGUCUCUUGGAUGGCACUCCACCGAGUCUGCGAUAUACAUGGACUCUGUGGCCAAAACAGUCUCUGCAAAUACAUACCAAAGCUCGAGUGCUCUUGCCUCGAAGGCUUCGAGGUGGUUGAUGCAAGCAACUGGAGCAAAGGGUGCAGGCGCAAGGCAAACAUAACAGCCAGCUGGGACGACCGGAGAAGACAUGAGGCAAACAACAUGGCCACUUUUUCGUUCAGUAAGCUCGCACAAACUGACUUUUACCAGCAUGACUUGGAGUACGCAGACUCGGUGCCAUUCUUGCAGUGCAAAGAGGCAUGCUCGGACAAUGUUGAUUGCCAAGCUUUUUCGUACCGACGAGGAGAAGGCAAAUGUUAUCCAAAGGUCUCUCUUCUGAAUGGCAAGAACUUCCCAGACCCUUACAAUGACAUUUAUCUGAAAGUUCCCAAGGGAGUGAUGUCUACGUCAGAAUUGGCUUCUACAGUAACCCACGAAUGCAAAAUUCAUGAAAAAGAAGCAGACACUUCAUCGCGGAUGUUCAAGGGUGCCAUUUCCAAGUUCAAGGUUGGCUACUUCCUUUCUUCAGCAUUAACGCUGCUUUGCAUCGAAGUAGCUUUAGUCAUCGCUGGUUGUUUGGUAGUUUACAAAUGGAAGAUAGGACCAGAGGUUACAGAUGAAGGUUACAUGAUAAUAUCCAGCCAGUUCCGAAUAUUUAGUCACAGUGAGUUACUGAAAGCAACCAAUUGCUUCCAGGAAGAGCUAGGAAGUGGUGGGUCAGGAGCAGUUUACAAAGGAGUCCUUGAUGAUGAAAGGACGGUUGCAGUGAAGAAGCUAAACGAUGUGAUCCAUGGAGAGCAGGAGUUCAGGUCUGAGCUAAGUGUCAUAGGCAGAAUUUAUCAUAUGAAUCUGGUCAGAAUGUGGGGGUUUUCUGUCGAGAAGACGUGCAAGCUCUUGGUUUCUGAGUUCAUCGAGAAUGGUUCUUUAGACAGAGCUCUAUUUGAUUACCAAAGAAUAAUCCCUGUGCUCCAAUGGAACCAAAGGUAUAAUAUUGCACUUGGGGUGGCAAAAGGACUGGCCUAUCUCCACCAUGAGUGCCUUGAAUGGAUAGUGCAUUGUGAUGUCAAACCAGAGAACAUAUUGUUAGAUAAAGACUUUGAGCCCAAGAUUGCAGAUUUUGGACUGGUUAAGCUACAAAAGCGAGGAUCAAGAGCACUGAUGUUGUCAAGGGUACUUGGGACCAGAGGAUAUAUUGCACCGGAAUGGGCUCUAAACCUUCCAAUCACUGGCAAGGCCGAUGUUUACAGCUAUGGAGUAGUUCUUCUUGAGUUAGUGAAGGGGGUUCGGGUUUCUAGUUGGAUGGUCGACGCUGAGGAGGAGGUGGAAAUGGCUGUUAGAUGCUCUACUGAAAUUCUUGAAGAGAAACUAGCAGGCGAAGACCAGUCAUGGCUUCUGGAGUUUGUCGACCACAGACUGGAUGGAGAAUUCAACCAUUCGGAAGCGAUAGUAAUGCUUAAGAUAGCAAUAUCAUGUGUGCAAGAGGAGAGGAGCAGAAGACCGAGCAUGAGCCAUGUGGUCGAAACUCUGCUUUCACUUGUGGAAUAA
rnacentral:rRNA from 1 species